CCAAGCCCCUGUCACCAGCCGGCCGAUGCACCGGGUUUCCUGCAAAUGUGAGCCCUGUGGAUGCAUUACAGGACUUGGUGAUGAAACCCUGAACUUUUCUAUUUAAAGGUGCCAUCCAGGUGGCCUCCGGCAGCUGCCCAGGAGUUGUGGCGUCCACUGUGAUGACGGCCUCGGUCUCUGAGUGUGCCCGAAGCAUGCGGCCCGAGCAGCUGAGCGUUCUUAAGAGAAGGCUGUCUAAGAGACACCAGCCUGGUGCCAGCAGGACCUUCCCAGCUGACGAGGUGCAGAAGGAUGAAAUCCAGGGCAGAGCCCCCCAUCCCGGGUGAGGGGAUUCCCCCGAGCAGGUCAGUCACUGUUUGUCUCUGUAGAGAGAGCAUAAAUGA